CAUUACCGAGUUUACAACUCCCAAACCCCUGUGAACAUACCUAUUGUUGCUUCGGCGGGAUCGCCCCGGCGCCCUCGGGCCCGGACCCAGGCGCCCGCCGGAGGACCCAAACUCUUGUCUUCAUGAGAAUCUUCUGAGUAACACAAGCAAAUAAAUUAAAACUUUCAACAACGGAUCUCUUGGUUCUGGCAUCGAUGAAGAACGCAGCGAAAUGCGAUAAGUAAUGUGAAUUGCAGAAUUCCGUGAAUCAUCGAAUCUUUGAACGCACAUUGCGCCCGCCAGUAUUCUGGCGGGCAUGCCUGUUCGAGCGUCAUUUCAACCCUCAAGCCCCCGGGCUUGGUGUUGGGGAUCGGCCGCCCUCCGGCGCGCCGGCCCCGAAAUCUAGUGGCGGUCUCGCUGUAGCCUCCUCUGCGUAGUAACACACCUCGCACCGGAACGCAGCACUGGCCACGCCGUUAAACCCCCCAG
rnacentral:rRNA from 1 species